UAGAAAUGAACCCAAAAACAAAACUUGGUCGAAGAAUUCAAAAAUAGUAUAAACAAUCAAAUCUUUGCAAAUUUGGUGCAUGAAAGCACAAUUCAUAUACAAGGUGCAAAUCUUUAAAUUAUGAAUCUAUAAACAACACUGCUUUCAUGCUUUUAAUUAAAAAAUUAUCAAAUUGGUGAUACCAAUUUAGUUUCGUGUACAAGUUGGCUGAAUCACAACCAUGGUAAGCUCAUAUUUUUUUUGUAAGAAAAUAAUGUAGGAGGAGAAUGUCAUUUAUAUCUCCCACACCAAUGUUAUUAGUUUCAAUUUCUUAUUUCUAACAUUUUGCUUUGUACACUUCUAACUUCCUCACAACAACUCCUCUGUCAAGAUAAAUGUGUUCACUUGGAUUUUUACUAAUGAACCAUCAACAUCAGAGGAUAUGAAAAAUGAAUUCAAACUUGACCAAAUUC
rnacentral:lncRNA from 1 species